GAAACCGGAGCUAAUACCGGAUAAUAUAUUGAACCGCAUGGUUCAAUAGUGAAAGACGGUUUUGCUGUCACUUAUAGAUGGAUCCGCGCCGCAUUAGCUAGUUGGUAAGGUAACGGCUUACCAAGGCGACGAUGCGUAGCCGACCUGAGAGGGUGAUCGGCCACACUGGAACUGAGACACGGUCCAG
rnacentral:rRNA from 1 species